UACUUUCUGCUGAAGGAUAGAGUGAUGGCUGGUCAUCAAGUUGUUCUCUCCAAACAUCAAGUACCGAGCUUCAGUGCCCUGCCAGUGUUCAGCAGGCAACACCACUAGACAAGCCAUAUUUCCCUAUUGCCAUGAGACUACUCAGAGUGGUGUCAGUAUUGAUACAGAAAUAUUAUCCUUUGUUGGUUACUCAAUGUGAAAUAUUUUUGUCAUUGAUGGUGAAAUUUUUGGAUGGUGACCGGCCAAUGGCAAGCGUGGCCUUGCUUUGGAGGUGCUUCAUAAAUUGGCUACAACCUAGCUAUUGCAGUCUUUCUGUACCAACUAUGACAUGAAACCUCAUGCUACAAGAUAUUCCAGGAUAUAGUAAACAGCUUGGGUGCAUUUGUGCAGUCACUUUUCAUAUCACCACAAUCAAGUGUUGCUGCUCAGUUGGGAGGUGGCAGUCAGAGUGGGGCACAGGGUCAGCCUCCCGCAUUGUUGGCUGGCAUGCCGUGGGUCGAGUGUCUCCCACAGCCAGCAUUCUUCUAUAGGGGUGUUUACCUUCCCUGUGUAAACAUUCCCACAGGACAAGCAAAGUCUUCAUAUUUAGAGAUGCUGGACAAGCUUGAACCUCCAACAAUACCUGAUGGUUAUGGCGUGAGUGUUGCCUAUUACUGCCUUCUUGACAUCAUCGAUCCAUACACUUGGUCAUGAUGGGUCCACAAGCCUCCAGUGAUAGUGC